UAGGGAAUCUUCUGCAAUGGACGAAAGUCUGACCGAGCAACGCCGCGUGAGUGAAGAAGGUUUUCGGAUCGUAAAACUCUGUUGUUAGAGAAGAACAAGGACGUUAGUAACUGAACGUCCCCUGACGGUAUCUAACCAGAAAGCCACGGCUAACUACGUGCCAGCAGCCGCGGUAAUACGUAGGUGGCAAGCGUUGUCCGGAUUUAUUGGGCGUAAAGCGAGCGCAGGCGGUUUCUUAAGUCUGAUGUGAAAGCCCCCGGCUCAACCGGAGAGGGUCAUUGGAAACUGGGAGACUUGAGUGCAGAAGAGGAGAGUGGAAUUCCAUGUGUAGCGGUGAAAUGCGUAGAUAUAUGGAGGAACACCAGUGGCGAAGGCGGCUCUCUGGUCUGUAACUGACGCUGGGGCUCGAAAGCGUGGGGAGCAAACAGG
rnacentral:rRNA from 1 species